rnacentral:rRNA from 1 species
UACAGAGGGUGCGAGCGUUAAUCGGAAUUACUGGGCGUAAAGCGCACGUAGGUGGCGACGUAAGUCGGGUGUGAAAGCCCCGGGCUCAACCUGGGAAUUGCAUUCGAGACUGCAUUGCUGGAGUACGGAAGAGGAGGGCGGAAUUCCCGGUGUAGCGGUGAAAUGCGUAGAUAUCGGGAGGAACAUCAGUGGCGAAGGCGGCCCUCUGGUCCAGUACUGACACUCAAGUGCGAAAGCGUGGGAGCAAACAGG